rnacentral:rRNA from 1 species
CUACGGGGGGCAGCAGUGGGGAAUAUUGCACAAUGGGCGCAAGCCUGAUGCAGCCAUGCCGCGUGUAUGAAGAAGGCCUUCGGGUUGUAAAGUACUUUCAGCGGGGAGGAAGGGAGUAAAGUUAAUACCUUUGCUCAUUGACGUUACCCGCAGAAGAAGCACCGGCUAAUUCCGUGCCAGCAGCCGCGGUAAUACGGAGGGUGCAAGCGUUAAUCGGAAUUACUGGGCGUAAAGCGCACGCAGGCGGUUUGUUAAGUCAGAUGUGAAAUCCCCGGGCUCAACCUGGGAACUGCAUCUGAUACUGGCAAGCUUGAGUCUCGUAGAGGGGGGUAGAAUUCCAGGUGUAGCGGUGAAAUGCGUAGAGAUCUGGAGGAAUACCGGUGGCGAAGGCGGCCCCCUGGACGAAGACUGACGCUCAGGUGCGAAAGCGUGGGGAGCAAACAGGAUUAGAUACCUGGUAGUC